rnacentral:misc_RNA from 1 species
GCAAACUUGGUCAUUUAGAGGAAGUAAAAGUCGUAACAAGGUUUCCGUAGGUGAACCUGCGGAAGGAUCAUUAUUGAAUAUUCAUGAUGGGUUGUAGCUGGCUCUUAGGAGCAUGUGCACGCUUGUCUUGAUUCUAUUCAUCCACCUGUGCACCUUUUGUAGUCUUGGAGGUAGAGAGCAGUCAACUAUCGGACAGCUAUUAGUUGUUCCGGAUAUGAGAAAUGCUGAAAGCUUUUCUCAAAUGACUUGCAAACCUCUCUUUCAAGUCUAUGUAUUCAUAUACCACAUAGUAUGUUGCAGAAUGUGAUCAAUGGGCCUUUGUGCCUAUAAUAAUCAUAUACAACUUUCAGCAACGGAUCUCUUGGCUCUCGCAUCGAUGAAGAACGCAGC